AACAAGGCGUACCUGCGGACCUGCGGAAGGAUCAUUACAGAGUUCAUGCCCUCACGGGUAGAUCUCCCACCCUUGAAUACUAUACCUUUGUUGCUUUGGCGGGCCGCUUUGGCUACUGGCUCUGGCUAGUAAGUGCCCGCCAAAGAACCCCAAAACUCUGAAUAUUAGUGUCGUCUGAGUACUAUAUAAUAGUUAAAACUUUUAACAACGGAUCU
rnacentral:misc_RNA from 1 species